rnacentral:rRNA from 1 species
GGGGGGGGGGGGGGGGGGGGGGAGGGGAGGGAGGGCGAAGGGAAGGGGGCUGCUUGUGGGGGGGGCUGGAGGGGCGAACGGGUGAGUAACACGUGAGUAACCUGCCCUUGACUUUGGGAUAACUUCAGGAAACUGGGGCUAAUACCGGAUAGGAGCUCCUGCGGCAUGGUGGGGGUUGGAAAGUUUCGGCGGUUGGGGAUGGACUCGCGGCUUAUCAGCUUGUUGGUGGGGUAGUGGCUUACCAAGGCUUUGACGGGUAGCCGGCCUGAGAGGGGGACCGGCCACAUUGGGACUGCGAUACGGCCCAGACUCCUACGGGAGGCAGCAGUGGGGAAUAUUGCACAAUGGGCGGAAGCCUGAUGCAGCAACGCCGCGUGCGGGAUGACGGCCUUCGGGUUGUAAACCGCUUUCGCCUGUGACGAAGCGUGAGUGACGGUAAUGGGUAAAGAAGCACCGGCUAACUACGUG